rnacentral:rRNA from 1 species
AUAAUGGGUCAGCGACUUAUAUUCUGUAGCAAGGUUAACCGAAUAGGGGAGCCGAAGGGAAACCGAGUCUUAACUGGGCGUUAAGUUGCAGGGUAUAGACCCGAAACCCGGUGAUCUAGCCAUGGGCAGGUUGAAGGUUGGGUAACACUAACUGGAGGACCGAACCGACUAAUGUUGAAAAAUUAGCGGAUGACUUGUGGCUGGGGGUGAAAGGCCAAUCAAACCGGGAGAUAGCUGGUUCUCCCCGAAAGCUAUUUAGGUAGCGCCUCGUGAAUUCAUCUCCGGGGGUAGAGCACUGUUUCGGCAAGGGGGUCAUCCCGACUUACCAACCCGAUGCAAACUGCGAAUACCGGAGAAUGUUAUCACGGGAGACACACGGCGGGUGCUAACGUCCGUCGUGAAGAGGGAAACAACCCAGACCGCCAGCUAAGGUCCCAAAGUCAUGGUUAAGUGGGAAACGAUGUGGGAAGGCCCAGACAGCCAGGAUGUUGGCUUAGAAGCAGCCAUCAUUUAAAGAAAGCGUAAUAGCUCACUGGUCGAGUCGGCCUGCGCGGAAGAUGUAACGGGGCUAAACCAUGCACCGAAGCUGCGGCAGCGACGCUUAUGCGUUGUUGGGUAGGGGAGCGUUCUGUAAGCCUGCGAAGGUGUGCUGUGAGGCAUGCUGGAGGUAUCAGAAGUGCGAAUGCUGACAUAAGUAACGAUAAAGCGGGUGAAAAGCCCGCUCGCCGGAAGACCAAGGGUUCCUGUCCAACGUUAAUCGGGGCAGGGUGAGUCGACCCCUAAGGCGAGGCCGAAAGGCGUAGUCGAUGGGAAACAGGUUAAUAUUCCUGUACUUGGUGUUACUGCGAAGGGGGGACGGAGAAGGCUAUGUUGGCCGGGCGACGGUUGUCCCGGUUUAAGCGUGUAGGCUGGUUUUCCAGGCAAAUCCGGAAAAUCAAGGCUGAGGCGUGAUGACGAGGCACUACGGUGCUGAAGCAACAAAUGCCCUGCUUCCAGGAAAAGCCUCUAAGCAUCAGGUAACAUCAAAUCGUACCCCAAACCGACACAGGUGGUCAGGUAGAGAAUACCAAGGCGCUUGAGAGAACUCGGGUGAAGGAACUAGGCAAAAUGGUGCCGUAACUUCGGGAGAAGGCACGCUGAUAUGUAGGUGAAGUCCCUCGCGGAUGGAGCUGAAAUCAGUCGAAGAUACCAGCUGGCUGCAACUGUUUAUUAAAAACACAGCACUGUGCAAACACGAAAGUGGACGUAUACGGUGUGACGCCUGCCCGGUGCCGGAAGGUUAAUUGAUGGGGUUAGCGCAAGCGAAGC